rnacentral:rRNA from 1 species
CGNCCGCAAGGUUGAAACUCAAAGGAAUUGACGGGGGCCCGCACAAGCGGUGGAGCAUGUGGUUUAAUUCGAAGCAACGCGAAGAACCUUACCAGGUCUUGACAUCCCGAUGCUAUUCUUAGAGAUAGGAAGUUACUUCGGUACAUCGGAGACAGGUGGUGCAUGGUUGUCGUCAGCUCGUGUCGUGAGAUGUUGGGUUAAGUCCCGCAACGAGCGCAACCCUUAUUGUUAGUUGCCAUCAUUAAGUUGGGCACUCUAGCGAGACUGCCGGUAAUAAACCGGAGGAAGGUGGGGAUGACGUCAAAUCAUCAUGCCCCUUAUGACCUGGGCUACACACGUGCUACAAUGGUCGGUACAACGAGUUGCGAGCCGGUGACGGCAAGCUAAUCUCUGAAAGCCGAUCUCAGUUCGGAUUGGAGGCUGCAACU